UUAUCAAAACUCUACUCUGAUCGCUCGAUAUCAACCAAUUUAGUAUAUGCCAUCCAAUGAGUAUCUUCUCAAUCCGACCUCUGAUCAAGGUGCGGUUGGUGUCAAAUUGAAGCUUGAGAAGAUUAGAUGAAGAUUACCAGGCCUGAUCAUCCAUUCUAGUCACUGAUUGCCAGAGAUCUAGCCGGAAAGCUUGAAAAACCAAAAACUUUUCUCCUUCAUAACUUUUUCCU
rnacentral:misc_RNA from 1 species